ACACCUCACAUGCAGUUGAUAGAUUUUUUUUUUUUACUUUCUUUAGAGAUAGGUAGCACGUUAUCCGCUUCGUUUAUUUUAUUUGAAAAUAAACUUAGUUAGAAAUAUGAAUCAACUAGGAUUCGAACUUCAAAACUCGGAUACCAAUCGCCAAAUCUUUUGUCACUUGAUUUAGGGACGGUCAGUAGUUAAUAGAUCUUUUUAAAGAGCUAUUCUCCUGGACACUACUUUAAUCAUGUCUAUUAAUUUACUGCUCUACUUU
rnacentral:lncRNA from 1 species